UACGUAGGGUGCAAGCGUUAAUCGGAAUUACUGGGCGUAAAGCGUGCGCAGGCGGUUGUGCAAGCCAGAUGUGAAAUCCCCGGGCUUAACCUGGGAACUGCAUUUGUGACUGCACGGCUAGAGUGUGUCAGAGGGGGGGUAGAAUUCCACGUGUAGCAGUGAAAUGCGUAGAGAUGUGGAGGAAUACCGAUGGCGAAGGCAGCCCCCCUGGGAUAACACUGACGCUCAUGCACGAAAGCGUGGGGAGCAAACAGG
rnacentral:rRNA from 1 species